rnacentral:rRNA from 1 species
GACGAACGCUGGCGGCGGGCUUAACACAUGCAAGUCGAACGGAAAGGCCCUGCUUUUGUGGGGUGCUCGAGUGGCGAACGGGUGAGUAACACGUGAGUAACCUGCCCUUGACUUUGGGAUAACUUCAGGAAACUGGGGCUAAUACCGUAUAGGAGCUCCUGCUGCAUGGAGGGGGUUGGAAAGUUGCGGCCGGUGGGGAUGGACUCGCGGCUUAUCAGCUUGUUGGUGGGGUAGUGGCUUACCAAGGCUGUGACGGGUAGCCGGCCUGAGAGGGUGACCGGCCACAUUGGGACUGAGAUACGGCGCAGACUCCUACGGGAGGCAGCAGUGGGGAAUAUUGCACAAUGGGAGGAAGCCUGAGGCAGAAACGCCGCGUGCGGGAUGACGGCCUUCGGGUUGUAAACCGCUUUCGCCUGUGACGAAGCGUGAGUGACGGUAAUGGGUAAAGAAGCACCGGCUAACUACGUG